AUUGUAUAAAUUACAUACGGGCAGAUCAUACAAAAAUGAUAACAAUGCAAUAAUUAACACGAACCCCCCAAAAAUGAAAAUGAUCUACAGUUGUGUUACCCUUAGCGGAUCAGUAUGGAAACAAUGCUGUGCAUUGAACAAACGUUUUACAUUCUGAGAUUGCAACGUUUACAGUUAAAAAGAAAAAUAUUUCCUCUUUUGAUUGACAUAAAAUAAUUCAAUAUCAGUGCAGAAACCGAUUAACUGACCGUUGUUUGCAUGUACGAGUAAAUGAGGCAUUAGCGAAUCAAAUUUACCAAUAACGGAUCACGUGACAUUCCGAUAUUGGGGGUUCUCUCAAGCGAGAUUUUAGCUGUCAAAACUGACAAUCAGUUUGUUUAUCUUUUCUGUUAAAUAUAUUUAGUCCCUCUUUUAUGCAUUUUAUAGGUGAUAUCAUGACAGGAUGCUUAUUCGGUGGUCUGUAUCACGUCAAGUCCGUAGAGAUCGCAUUUAUGUAUUUAAAGAUAUCCGAUUUGUUAAAUAAUUUCAACAAAAUUCCAGCUGAAAACACUCAGGUCCAGUUAAUUUUGAGAGCUUUUGGACUUUUUAUAACUGUAUAAAAUUUUCAAAAUGGAUAUGAAUAAUAACUGUGUAUGCAUCUGCUUGUAAAUCUGUGAACUGUUUAUGAAUAUGAUUUACUAAUUCUAUGCAUAGAAUAAACUCAUGCUGAUUGAGAUAAUUUAUUUUCAUUUAAAAAUAAUUUAACAAUGAUUGAGGAUAACAGAAUCAUAAAAUCACAGUAAAUCACAUUAUAAUCAAGAAUUAAAUCACAGACAUUUAAAAAGUAAAAUAUGAACAAAUAUAAUUUAUAUAAACACAUAACAAGUUGACUAGAAAUUCUGACCAGCUAGCCUGAGCUAGGUGUUGAUAUUAUGGUACUAACCUAUGCAAUGAUAUGAGGUAACAGGUUAAAAGCUGUUAGAAAUACAGUACAUAGUACUGUAUAAGGUAAACCUAUUUCUUAAACCUGAACAAAAUACACAGACAUCACGAAAACUGCAGUGAACAAGAUUGAUGGCAAAAGAUGCAACAAUUUGAAUCAAAAUUCAAGCUACUUUGAGUAUAAAACAUUGAACAACUAAACAAAACCAUAAUCCAUAUAAAACUUAUUACAAUCAAAAAUUGUAAUUUGGAGAUUCUUUGAUCAAUAACAUCAAGCAUUUCUAUUGCAGGUGAGAAAUAAUGAGCAACAAAUUAUCACUAGAUUUGUUGAAAACAAAACAAUGCCAAUUAAAUUCUAAAUACAUUCUAAAGACAUAUGAAUUAACUGAUUAGUUUAUAUAUCAGUUUUAGUCCAGCAUAUUUUCAUGGCAAUAACAAGUAUAUCAAUGUCAAUUAACAACUAUUUUCAUCACAUAACAUUUGGGCAUCUUUUUGAGUGUUUCUCUUAACAUUUGUAUAGUGUUCACUUCAUCUGCUGUAAGUACAUAUUUACAUGGAAUAACAACGCCACCACCACUCUCAGAUGGAGCAGGCCACGGUGGGAAACUGGGCGUCGGUUCACCAGUCAUGAUGGCACACACGUGUCCACCCGAAUCAAGUACAUUGUAAAAACAAAGAAUGCAUGGUACAUGGCCAAUUGGAAGGGCAGCUAUAUCUGACAACUUAAGCUGUCUUUUAUCAUCUGUUACCAUGUCAUGUAAAGUAAUAUCAGACUCAGAAAGUCCAGGAAUCCACACAAGGCAUGCAUCUUUAUCUUUGAUGUAAGUAUAUUCCCUAUCUACAACAAGCUUUGUCACAGGGUCAGUUAUUGGGGUUUUUAUCUUGUACAAAUGGUACCCCUUUAUCACCGAGUUCUCUAAUGUGAUAGAUGUGCAACAGCUUGCUGAAGACUGUGGUUCAUCAUGGGCUUCCUUGUCUGUGGAGAUAUCAUGGCCUCUUCCUCUUCUGGCUUUGAUGGCAGAUAUAUUAGGUGGCGGUGGUACCUGAAAGAAAAUCAUUUCAAUUAAAUACAGAAUUAGGAAAAACGAAGAAAAAAGUAGAAGACAGCUGGCUAGUCCACACAGCCACCUGAACUUUGAAGAUUUUACAAACCAUGAGCAAGUAACUUUGAGAUUUAUUUCAAAUAAUUUAUUUUAAGUGUACCCUGCUACAAUAUGAUAAUGUUAAUGUGAUGUUCUGUUCCAGAUUCAAAUGGUUACUUACUUCCACCAUCUCUUCUCAAUAAAUAAUGUUGUCAACUCUGCCCAAAUUCAAUCUUCAUUCAUCUGUAAAACACAAGUGAUAUUUUUAAAAACAAUCACAAACUGCAUGGUAUACACUUAUGGAAGUGGCAAUCCUCGAUACCAAUUAAAACACAGGCGUCUUUUAAAUUAAAGCUGAUAAAUAUCAUUUUUAUGAUAUUAAGUGUGUACAGUACUGUACAUCAUAUUUAUGUAUAAUAAAAAGUCAAAAAUUUGAAACUGAAUUAGAUAUGUGUGUUAUAAUUCAUAUUUUAAUCAUAAUUAAAGUUACAUAAGUAUCCAGCAAUGUUUGUUUUAUGUUUAAAAAAAUCGGCAAUGACAAACUGAAACAAAUUCACUAUGUUGAGAGAACCCCUCAGACUCACUGCAUGAACAAAAUGGCGGUCCGCUAUUGGUUAAUUACCCACACGUAAUUAUGACCGCCAAAUUCUAACAAUUCAUUGAUGAAAAAAAGAAUGUUAUGCAUUUUUAAGAGGUCAUAUACUGACCUUUCAUAAGAUGUAUAAAUUGUUCACUUACACAUUGUAGUUGGACGAAAAGUUCUCAGAAAGAGCACAUGUUGCAAUCAAAUUGAGGCCGGAACAACUGGGUCACGUAAACAGUUGCAUCGAACGUUCGUAUGAUACAGAUGAUUUUGAAGUUCGAUUUAACCAAUAUUUGUUGUGAUUUUCACAAUCACUUUAAAGUACAUAACUGCCAAUUUUCAGAAAAAAAUACAAUUAAAUAAACUUUAUAGCGUGUAUUCAACAAGAGAGUGAUCCGCUAUUGGUUAUGAUCCGCUAAGGGUAACUUGACUGUAUAUAAGCUAUGCUUUCGAUCAAAUUCUUUGUUUUUCAUUGAUGUAUAUAUGUUGUCUUGUAUUAUUUUCCUCAAUAAAUAUGUUUAAACUAACCCCCAAAAAACAAACAAAAAACAACAACAAAAAACAACAACCUUACCGAAGACCGAGUUGUUCAUGAGUUUGAAGAAGUUCUUCUCGAAAGCAGUCUUGGCUUGUUGUCGCAUUUUGGUGUUGAACUCAACGUAGGGUUUCAUGAAAGCCUCUUGUUGGAACUCUAAUACUUUAUGUAUUUUUUUCAAUUUUAGACCGAGUUGGAGAUACAGUUGCAGGUUGCGAUAGUGAAGUACAUAAUUCUGUUUGUUUUCUAAAGUGGUGCGGACUUGGAGAGAGCGGUGUUCUUGCAGUAGAAGAUGGUGUAGAUAGCUGACUGUAGCUGUGCUCGUUCUGAAGUUGUGAAGUGGUGAGAAGUCCUGUUGUAUGAUCUACAUUGCUUGUUGAAGAGGAGCUUUGGGUGUCGCUGCUUGGAGGUCGAAAGACAAUCAACGUCUGAGAGGGAAAUAUGUUGGUGCGCAAUUUAUACAACUUGUUUGAAUGUGGGCUUACAUCAACGACAGCAAGACUUUGCGAUCGACACUCUACUCUGUCAAAUGGAUAUUUAGCUGUGCUGUUUUUCAACAACUCUGCAUGAGCUACAAUAAGAGCUGGAUUGACUCUUACCUUCUUUGCUAUUCGCUUUUCGCUUGAUUUACAAUUUGCUGUGUGGGGGAAGUCACGUUCAAUGUCAAGUCGCUGCUCUCAGCGGAAGCCUUAUGAGAUCAUCCGGGGAUAUCGCCAUAUUGAAAACCCCCAAGAGGUUCGGUCCACGUCCAUGGUGCUCGGGAUGAGUCAUUGGAGGACGAAGAUCGGGUGUCCUUAUGCUGCCAUGAAAUGUCGUUUUUAUGAUGUCCAAUUAUGUUCAAAAAUAAACAACUUGGAGAAUGUG